AAUAUUACUUUUUAAUUAUUGAUAUUCUUUAAAUUUCAGUUUUAAAAGUAGUUUAGAAUGCAAAAAAUUCCUUAAAAAAAGUGUAAAAGCAAAUAAGAGAGAAAAGGAUCGGCGAUUUCUGGGUCGGGUGCCGGAGCGGUGCGACAGCGGGUUAGAGAGAGAGAGAGAGAGUUGCCGGAGCCGGGCGACGGUGGGGUAGAGAGAGAGAGAGAGAGAGAGAUGCGGGGUGUCAACUGUCAAGGAAGGUGGGUGGGUGGCGCUGGGCAGGGACAGCAGUAGCGCUGCCUCUCCUCUACGUCCAACCUCACCCAACCUGCUGCAGAGUCAUAGCCGGCACCAUCCCCCACCAUAUCCUACGGUCCAUGAUCACGUCGUCUUCUCCCUGUCAUUGUCUUCUUCCCCAACUUUCUUCUCCACGCUUUCCUCAGAGCCGCCAUGGCCAAUGACUAGCCCCCAUCUGUCCUUUAUCCCUGUCAUGGGCCAAUGAUUUUCUCUGCAAAUUUUUUUACAGUAAUCCUAUGCUUACCACAUUAAUAUACCACAUUAGUGUACCAUAUUAUGUGACAUCUAAUAUAGCUGUCCACAUCAUCUAAAUUAAUCAUAAUUUAAUUUAAAUUAAAAACCAUUUAAUAAACCAAUAAUAAAUAAAAAAAUCUGGAAUUAAAUGAUGUUUGUGGCAUACGAGAAGUCUUCUCCUUCCUUCCUUCCUUAAAUGGUUUUUAAUUUAAAUUAAAUUAUGAUUAAUUUAGAUGAUGUGGAUAGCCACAUCAGAUGCCACAUAAUAUGAUAUACUAAUGUGGUAUAUUAAUGUGGUAAGUAUAGCAUUACUGAUUUUUUUAGGAUAAUGUUAAGAGACUAAAUUUAAAGAGAAAGUUUUGAAAACUAAAUAACAUUUAAGAAUAAUUUAUUACUUAAACAUUAUAAACAUGUUUAUUUAUAUUAAUGAUAUAUUAUUUAGUUUAUAAAUUUAGUUUCCAGAUUUAAUUUUCAUUACUCCUUUUUUAUGCUUCUAAACUCAGCGUUUAAUAAUGAAUGCAUGUGGUGAUUGUUAUUUGUUUAGCUUAAUGUGGGAGUGGAAUAUACGUGUCAAAUAAUAAGUGAAAAGGGCCAAUAAAGAACGGCAAUACUAGGAUAGUCAAAAUUUUAAAUUAAAAUUUAUAACCAAUUGAUGUUGGUGGUUUUUUUUUCUUCAAAUAAACGAUAUUAUUUAUAUUAAAAAUAAUGAGCUUAAUCUUAUAAGAGGUCAACUAUUGAUGUAGAUUUGGAUGGUUGAAUUAUUAUUUAAGGGAAGCUUUUAAGGGUAGGGAUUUCAUUUUUUUUUAUAAAAAUUGGGAUUAGUUGUGGGAUCUACACCACAUCGAACUUUAACAAUUUGAAUAGUUUAUUUUUCAAGUUGUACUCAUCCUUGCAAAAUAUUAGUCAAAUCAAAAAUAUUUUAAGAUAUCUAAUUGGGUUCAAAUAAAUGAACGAAUACUUUGUUAUAUAAGAAACAAUGAAAUUUGAUCUUGAUAAUUAAAUAGGCAAAUGAUUUUAGAUUGAAUUGAAUUUUUGCAAGGAUGAUCUAUGAAUCGAGACUUACAAAAUAGAUGAUUCAAAUCGUUAAAAUCCGAUGUGGAGGGGACCCCACAAAAAAAAAAUAGGGAUCCCUUUGCAUAAAGGGUUUGAUUACUUAAGUGUUUAAUAUGCUUAGUUUUGUUGAUGAUAUAUCAUUUAAUUUGUAAAUUUGAUUAGUUGUCGCAAUAAUUGAAACAAUAUCAUAAAUAAAAUUAUAAAAUAACAUUUUUAUUUAACAUUUUUUUAGUACAUCAAUAUUUUUACACUAAAAGGAAGAAUAGUUUGACUAAGCCACACAGUGGGCAACCUAAUUUUGGUAUUGAAUUCGUCAUCUAUAAGAUUCAAAUCGAAGACAUCUCAUUUCCAAGUGCGGAAAAAUAUCACCAGACCAUAGUACUGAAUGACUAUUUAACAUAUUAAAUACAGCAAAAAAAAAAAAAUACAAUUAACACAUAAACCACUCGGCAUCCAAUAUCUUUAUUUUCUUGGUUCUUUCUCUCACUCAUCUUUCUCUCUAUCUCGUCCGAUCCUCUCUCUUUUUUCCCUUUUCUUCAAUCAUCUCCGAUCCUCUCUUUUUUUUCCCUUUUCUUCAAUCAUCUCUUACUUUCUUUCCUUCCCUCUCCUCUUUCUCCCUCUCAUGUGAUCUCAUCUUUUUAGAUCUCUUUGUCAGAUUAAAAAUUUUUAAAUCGCAAACCAAUCAAGUUUUUUAGUCUUAAAGAAAAUUAUUUUCAAGAAAUGUUUUGUGAAAUGAUAAAAAUUUUCAAAUAGAAUACUAAACAGACCCUAAAUGUCUCUUUCAAGCUAAAUCUUAACUAAAUCCAACAUUGAAAAAUUCAUUGUAGAAAGAGAAAUGCUAAGACUCUUAAAGUGGGACGGUCUAUAAACUCUCGUCAUCUCAUCGUUUAACGUUAUUUAUUUUGUUUUAAAAUAUGAAGUGAUAGAUAACUGCUAAAAAUUUCACUUUUAAGAGAGUAUUCUUAACAUUUUUGUUUGUACAAAGCUAUUUAUCUCGUAAGAGUUUUUAAUGGUUUGUAAAUUUUGUUAGACCAGUUGUGUACUUAAAUUAACUAUGAAGAGCAUGAGUUUGUUGUAAUAGAAAACAAAAAGAAUUAUAUUAUUGAGUAAUGUUUGUCAUGUUGAAUAUUAGAUUAAUUUUGUGGGAUUCUUGGUACUGUUAUAAAAAUUCCCACUUUGUGCCGCUAAAUCUUGUCUAGACGCUAGAUGAUUAGAUAUUGACCCGGUUAAUCCUUAGGCAUUUAAAAAGUAAGAAUAGUAUUUAGAUCGGCUUAUGCAUCAUCUAGCCCGAUUAGACGCUUAUCUAGCCUGUCUAGACCCAUUUAGGUACCCAUUUAGAUCAUGACUCUCACAUAAACAGAAAAUCAAUGACUUUUAUUUUUCAUUUUAUUUUUUUAAUAAAUUAUAAUAAAUUGGUUGAAUACUUAGAUGAAUACUUAUUAUAUGCUUGUUCCUCAUGUUUUCAAUGUGUUUUAAUACUAUACAUUCUACUGUCAUUUUAUUUUACAAUUUAUGUAUCUGAAUACAAUUAUGUAUUAUUUAAGUAUAAAUAAACACUUAUUUAUACUAUAUGUUCCGCUUAGUCUGCCUAGGUUCUCAUCUAAGCCCUGCCUGACUGUCUAGACGUUAGACCCCAACUCGCCGUUUGACUAGCGCUUAGCAUCUUUUCGAACUUUGUUUGGUAUUCAAUUGCAACAAUGAUAUCUCCUUCUUAAGAGUGUUGGAGAAAGGGAAUUUAUUUACAAAUCAGUUAAUAAAUAUGUUGUUUUCGUUGAACAACAAAUUUUUAUCUCACUAAAUGGAGUCAGCUAUGUGAAUCUGUAACACACUUAAUUUUGCAUCAAGUCUUCCGAAGUAUGUUGCUUUCAUAAAAUGGAAAAAUACAAAAAUUUAAUAAAACAAAUCCAAGCGUUUUUUCAGAAGAACAAGGAGGAAAUUUCAUUAAAACAGAGGUCAAAAUAGGAUGAAUUUGGAUGAGCACCACAAUUCCAAAUGCUGGAGUUUCAUGCCAAAUACAGAAUAAACAACAAAGAUAAAACAAAGGCAUAAACAGUAAAGAAAAAUCAAUACUAACCUCUGCGCCGGAAGAAAUGGACAUCUCAAGCUCGUAAUACUAGUGUCGGAUCUAGAACACAUGAGUUUGCAAAUCGCCUUAAAUUCGAGACAAACAGAACGACACCAAGAGGAAGGGCAUACCAGCCAGCUUAGAACAAUUUAGGGUGAGACAGCCCCUAUUAAAAAAAGUUAAAAGGAAGACAAAACUCUACAAACGAAUGGGGGAGAGCAAAAACGAUGUUGAGUAAACUCCUUAUUUCCUUAAAGCUAAGAAAAGAUAUCGGAGAAAAACCCCCAAGACCGAAGACGAUCGCUCUGAUUUGUUUAAUUGGAUACGGUGUACGAAUGACCUGAUAGAGAACGUAUAUUGUGGGACAAAACAAUAGUCUCUAGCAGUAUUUUGCUAUUGUUACAUAUACGUUAUUAGCAACUUGAGACUUACAACAUGAAUUCGAACCCAAUUGAUAUUUAAUUUAAUAAAAUUUAUCAUUUAAAAAAAAACCUACAGUGUCAUUUAUUAUUAAUUGACAUGUACAUUGACACGCCCCGAUCUGGAAUGUCCAAUAAGAUUCCGAAUCGAGCUGUGUUGGCCGACACCUAGAAGGUGACGAAAUCAUAAAGUGUGAUGAUGUGGAAAAUUGUGAAUAAAUUUAAACCUAAGAGUGCCUAAAUACUAGAGUGCACGAGUGAGCGAGAAUAAACCCUCUUCACACAUGACGUUAGAGCAUAAGCAAGUACAGAAGAGAGAAUUAAGAAUCGUACCCAUGAAAUAAUCUCCAAUAUUAAGAAUCGCUACGAAUCUUUGAUGAUAAGAAAGCUCAGCUAAUAAAACCUGAAGGGUGAAGACAAGACAAGGGUGAGUGGUCCUGUAAGUAAAAUUUUAAUAGAAACUAUAUAAAACAUUAUAACCCCUCUCUACAACACCUGUGUAAUUUCCAAAAGAAAAAAAAAUCAUAAUAUACCACAACACAACAUCUCAUCAAUAAUUUCAAAUAAUCAUGCAAUUAAUAACUCAUACUACUACGCAAGUAAGAGUCACUUAGGGUGACUUGUACGACUUACCCAUAUCUCAUCACAUGUACUAGUUCAUCACAUAUUUCAUCACAUAUGUUAGCUCAUCACAUAUUCAUCACAUAUGCUAGCUCAUAACAUAUUCAUCACAUAUGCUAGCUCGUCACGUAUUCAUUACAUAUGUUAGCUCAUAACAUAUUCAUUACAUAUGCUAGCUCGUCAUGUAUUCAUUACAUAUGCUAGCUCGCCACGUAUUCAUUACAUAUGCUAGCUUGUCAUGUAUUUCAUCACAUAUCUUAUCAAUCGGGGCUAGCAUAUACGUCGGAGUCACCUCUAGUGACCUAUGCGACUGAAAUCAUAGCUCAUCAAUCAUUGCUAGCACAUAAGCCGAAGCCACCUCUAGUGACCUGUACGACUGAAAUCAUAGCUCAUUAAUCAUUGCUAACAAAUAAGCCUGAGUCACCUUUAGUGACCUGUACAACUGAAAUCAUCGCUAGCACAUAAGCCGGAGUCACCUCUAGUGACCUAUACGGCACUACAUCUGCACAUGAGUCGGAACCAUCUGUAGUGGUCUGUACCACAGGCCUGGGUAUGAAUGUAUACGCUCUAGUGCUACAAUCACGUGAAAGCUGUACGAGUGAUCGCGGGUCACCUACGAGUUGGAACCAUCUAUAAUGAUCUUUACGACAGGCCUAUACACCUAACUUGGAUCCAAGGUGAGCAUAUAGUGCGGGAGGUGAACAUCACGUGAAAAGACUGUGCCCUGGCCACGGGUGGGAGCACUAACAUCGGGGUGCAGGUUUAUGAGCUUUAAAUGCAUCUAAUACAACAUGUACGACUCAUAGGCAACCUGUACGACUAUGCCGGAGUUGCCUACUAUUGCAACAUGUACGACAAUGUCAGAGUUGCUUAAAACGUAAAUGUAGUCAUAUCAUACCCCCAUCAAUUCAACUAAUACCGUAUACUUACUUGAACCUACCUAAACUUACCUAAACUUACCUGAACUUACCUGUGUGUCUUGCGUUCACCUUUGCACUUCAGAGCAUUCACAAUAAUUAUGUGCAAGGAAUAUACGUAUGGAUAUGCCAUAAUGAAAUCUAAAAUUAAACAUUUCAUAAUAUUUCCAAUUAUAUAAUACGGUGUACUAACUAUUAAUCACCAAAACAUAAAGUUAAAACGCACAUUUUUCACCAAUAUCCCUCACAUUGCUCAAUUCCUAAAACAAGGCUAUUGUCUCGAUU
rnacentral:lncRNA from 1 species